rnacentral:snoRNA from 1 species
AUAUCAAGGCUAUGGCACUUUGAGAACAAAUUCUUGAAACUCUCCCAUACCUCAUGAUAGCUUUCAAGAUCUUUCUGCUUAAAAAUGUGGAUUGCAUUCUUAAAAU